AUGCUCUUUACCUUCCCUGUUCUUUCCAGAGUUAUCCAUUUCUUCACUGAAGAAAUGCUUAGGAGGGCUUGUCGGGAGCCAUGCUCUGCGCCACGUGCUGGGCCUUCUGUGAUGGCUUGGUGUGAUGCACGCGCAAGUGAGUUAAUAUAUCACGAUGGAGUGUCAUACGUCCAACAGAAAGAGGAAUCGAGCAACAACAGCAACGUUGAGACACUAGUGUAUAAUAACAGGAGCAAAAAGAUGAGUUUAAUGGAACAGGGGAGAGAAAGAAGAAAGGAGAGUUCUGUCUGCCUCAGAGGAAUUGAGCUCCACAAAGCAUGACAGUGGGACUCCUGGGUGCCGAGUUGCUGAAGCUACCUUCAGAACUUCCUGAUCCUAUUGCACCGCACACGUCUUCAUCUCCCUAGAGAUUUUUGCCACUGGCUCCACCAUCUAUUCUCCCAUUACGGUUUGCUGUGUCCUUGGGACGUAACACAUUUUAUCCAUCUGCUAGGUAGAGAGACUUGGCUGGGUCUGCCCACAUGUCUCUUCCCUUUGCCCAAGACAGGUUUCUGCCAGCAGGGCCCAGAGUCCAACCAGCCCCAACCAGUCCCGGCCCUCCACCAAGCCUCCUAGAUCCAGUAACUCCCAGUCUUGUACCGGGAGUAGGAACAAUUCUUUUGGGUUAUAGUUUUGAAAUUUGAUGUUUAAAAGAAAAUGCCAUGCUCGAGAUGGAUAGUGGUGAUUGUUGCAUAACACUGAACCAAGUGCUUAAAAAUGGUUGAAGUAAAAAGAAAGAAAGAAAGAAAGAAAGAAAGAAAGAAAGAAAGAAAGAAAGAAAGAAAGAAAAGAAAAGAAAGAAAGAAAGCAAGCAAAUGAUGUAAAUGAGUUAAUUCUUUCAAUUCAGGAUGUUUAAAGUGAAAAUUGUAAACAUUUACAUAAUUUCAAAGAGUUUUUUGUAACUGCAUAAAGAUUAAGGAGAGAAAUAGAACAUAGGAAGAUAAAUAAGGAAGUAUUUGUAAAAUCUGUCAGAAUUAAUAGGUGGAUUGGGGUAGAUGUACAUUGAGUCCUCUGGCAGUGUAUCCUUGGAUUUUCACAGACAACUUCUACUUUUAUUGUUAUGAGUUUAAGUAUUUCUUCCCUUGGCGGAGGCCUAUUGCCUGUCAAGAGAGAGAAAAGUUAUAGAAACAAAACAAGGCUUUGUGUAUCAUUCACAAGGGCUGAUUUGUUUUUGAAGGAAUUUCAAGGAAAUGAGGAUUCUUAAAACUGUGUUUUAUAUAGGAUUUAGCUAAGCUUUCUCCUGUCACUCCGGUCCCACUUUUAGCAGAUGCGUACAUAAUUC
rnacentral:lncRNA from 1 species